UCUAGAAUUGUUUUGUAACUCUACUGUCAAAAGGGAGCCUGGGUGUCACACUUAAUAUUUUUGUAAACUGCUGUGGUGUCUUUCAGGAGUCCCCAGUAAAACAUGUGACUAUGAAGUUGCUUGCAAUUUACCUGUCUACAUGGUCCAGUCACCAUUAUCCAUUUCAUUUUAAACUUUAUGGUUAUACAAUUUCAUUUUGUUUCUCUUAUCUGCAGGUGCACAGCUUUUAUUGUGAAGCUGGAGUCUCUUCACUUCCGCUCCCGUUGUUCCUGCUCGUGCCUGGGUCGGUCUGCUUUACUCAGCUGGGCAACCCCCCUCCGUGACGUCACUGCACGCCCCUCAGACGGGGUUUUGGAGGAGGAGCGCGAGAGAUCACCUUUCACCCACAAAGCCAAACGCGUAGACGGAUAAACGUGUUAACGUUUUCCCAGUUCUGGGGCCAUGAUGUCGCAUCUGCUAUGAAACACGUCGGCCACGAGAAAGGGAGAAAAAAACGUGAUUUGUAUCAGGCUGAAGAACAGAAGAAAUUCUUCCAGUGUCUACAACAGAAUCUGCAACAAGAGAUGUGUGACAGGAUUGGUUAGAUGGUGAGCUGCAGUUUGAUGCAUUCCUCCACUGCCUCCUCCAGAGUUGGGAUCUUCUCUCCGGCAAAUUUCUCCCUGACGACAAAGGAGGACACAACUGUUACAGUACUAUGUCAGGCUCACAUGCAUACCAAAAAUGUCUCUACAAAACAAAUUUUUACAGCUGAACUGGGAAACAUCAUGUUUAACUUUGAUCAAUGACAUGCUUAUCUCUUCUGAGACAAAAUGAUGAAAAGGACCUGAUAAUGUUCAUGAGACUCUGUUAUAAAGGUACUUGGCAUGUGUCUAUCUAGACAGGGUUCAUAGGUAAGGCUGGGUAAUAUAAUAACUACCAGGGCCCCUGUGUGAUUAUAAUCUUAAUCAGACCUGUAAAACUUUAAGCUCCUGUGCCAUUGAAAUAGUUCUUAUCUCUCUCACUUUCUUUUGAAUGUGCAGUAGUCAUGUGGUUUAUUGGUAUAACAAGAUUUCCAAAUGGAGAGGACACUGUUACUGCUAUAAUUUUAGAGACAAAUUACACAGAUUUCUCCUCUCAGGGAAAUUGUUUGUUGAAUGCUGCAGAUGUCCUGUGAUAUUUAUACAUUUGCUUGUCCGACAUUGUUCUGAAAAUUUCUGCCAUCUGAACAGGAUCAGUUUUCAUAUCUCUCACUCAUUCUGCCUCAUGUAGUCUGUCUCAUGUGCACAUGUUUAGAAAAAAGAAUCUAUUGUUUUUUGUGUUUUGAAACAUCUUGUAAUGUUCGUGAUUAAGAAAAUGAACUUUUCUGUUUCACUCGCUAAGACUUUCUCAUCCUCCUGUUCUUGUGGUAAGGUUCUAAAUAGCGUUUGAAUUUGUGCUCAUCCCAACUGCAUCCUAACUUGUUAUCUUACUUUUGGGGGACUGUUUUGCAUGUUUCUUUUGUUUGUUUGGAAAAGAGCUGUUUUUAGAAACCCCCUGGGUUACUUGUCUCGCUUGUUUUACCAACAGCGUGCCUCUUUAUUAAUAGAAACUUUCCCCUUUUUGCUUUCAAUUAAAGGUUUUAUUGACAUUCCUUGAAUAAUUAGGUUAAUUUGUUUAUUGGUCUUUAUAAAGUCUUUUUAAAAUAUUUUCUUACAGAUGUUCUGGAGCCUACCAGUAUUCACAAUCAAA